UACAGGGGGGGCAAGCGUUGUUCGGAAUUACUGGGCGUAAAGGGCUCGUAGGUGGCCAACUAAGUCAGACGUGAAAUCCCUCAGCUUAACUGGGGGAACUGCGUCUGAUACUGGAUGGCUUGAGUUUGGGAGAGGGAUGCGGAAUUCCAGGUGUAGCGGUGAAAUGCGUAGAUAUCUGGAGGAACACCGGUGGCGAAGGCGGCAUCCUGGACCAACACUGACACUGAGGAGCGAAAGCCAGGGGAGCAAACGGG
rnacentral:rRNA from 1 species